rnacentral:ncRNA from 2 species
CGUCUGGAUAGAGGCGCAGUUUUGAUUAGUCGUUACUUUGAGGUUUAUGGUACCUGUGAAAAGUAAUAAAAGGUGAAACUGCCGAAGUAAUAAAUUUACCAUUUAAAUUUAUUACUGGGCCUAUUGCUGAAUAAGCAUAGGACUGUCACAAGAUUUCUUGUGGAGGGCUAUUGAAGAG